AAGUCGUAACAAGGUUUCCGUAGGUGAACCUGCGGAAGGAUCAUUACCGAAUUGUCAACAAGGGUUGUUGCUGGCCCCUGUAUGGGGGCAUGUGCACGCUCUGUUUACACAUCCAUUCACACCUGUGCACCCUCUGUAGUUCUAUGGCCUGGGGGGCCCUGUCCUCCUGCUGUGGUUCUAUGUCUUUACACACACACCGAAAUAAAGUCUAACGGAAUGUAUGUCGCGUUUAACGCAAUGAAAUACAACUUUCAGCAACGGAUCUCUUGGCUCUCGCAUCGAUGAAGAACGCAGCGAAAUGCGAUAAGUAAUGUGAAUUGCAGAAUUCAGUGAAUCAUCGAAUCUUUGAACGCACCUUGCGCCCUUUGGCUAUUCCGAAGGGCAUGCCUGUUUGAGUAUCAUGAACAUCUCAACUCUCAUGGCUUGCCAUGAUGAGCUUGGACUUUGGGGGUCUUGCUGGCCUGUGGUCGGCUCCUCUCAAAUGAAUUAGCCUGCCGGUGUUUGGUGGGAUCACAGGUGUGAUAACUAUCUACGCUUGUGCUUUUCCACCAGGUAACCCUCAGCAAUGGAGGUUCACCGGAGCUUAUAAAUGUCUCUCCCCAGCGAGGACAG
rnacentral:rRNA from 1 species